GAGAGAGAGAGAGAGAGAGAGAGAGAGAGAGAGAGAGAACUCAAGCAUGUGCCCAAGCUAACCCAUGCAAGAGUGCUUGGAUGUUUUCUUCAAUUAUUUCUCCACCUUUGUUUUUGAGAUAGUGUCCCUCAUUGAACCUGGAAUGUGCCAUUUUGGCUAGACUGGCUGGCUAGCAAGACUCUGGGGUCUGCUCGUCUCCACCCUCCAGCAUGGAGUUACAGAUGUUUACAGCCAUGUCUGGCUUUUCCAUACGUGAUGGGCAUCUGGACUUGGGUCUUCAAGCUUGUGCAAUAAACACUUUGCCUACCGAGUCAUUCAUUCUCCCAUCCUCCAACAUCCACCGUUUGAGGGUCUGAGGGAUGUGUGUGAUUCUCCUUUAUUUCUAGCUGAUCCACCGUUUGAGGGUCUGAGGGAUGUGUGUGAUUCUCCUUUAUUUCUAGCUGAUCCACCGUUUGAGGGUCUGAGGGAUGUGUGUGAUUCUCCUUUAUUUCUAGCUGAUCCACCGUUUGAGGGUCUGAGGGAUGUAUGUGAUUCUCCUUUAUUUCUAGCUGACCCAGACUCUUCCUGCUGCAGGAUAGAGCUUCCUGGUCCAAGGCCUGGCCUCUCCUUAAGGCAUAGAGACCUGUAGCUCAAGACUUAUUCAUUUCCAGGGCUUUUCUUUCUGGUGCUACAGCAAAGACGCUCUCAGACAAUUAAAUUGAAACAGCUACACACUUUCCCUCGCAGGGGUUUGGACAGAUUUAUAAUAUUUUCUUUUUUAAAAAAUUGGGCCCUUUUUCAUGGAGACAGUGAUUUAUAGAAUAAUCAAUUUCUUUAUCUACCUAAUACAUUGGAGUGAUCCGUCAGUUCAGGCAUCAAUCUCCCUGGGGUUGGGGAGGGCCGAUGGCCUAACAGCCUGGCUCAUCAGGCGAAGGGCAGGUUUCCCCGUGAGCUGUUUUGCUGCUGAGACUGGACAGAGAGCCUUGUGAGGAAGGCCUAAGCCUCCUGUAAACUCCUCGUCCAGCUAACAGGUAGUGCUUUCGUCUAUCAAUAUCUGCCACCCCAGGGGAAUGGGUGCAGUGCACGCUGUCCCCAUUACACAGAUUUGGAGACCGAGUAUCUUAGGAAAGGGAUGACUCAGCUGGUAAAGCACUUGCCUGGCAAGCAUGAGGCCCUGAGCAGGAUUCUCAGACCCCAUAUAAAAAUGCGAGGCAUAGUGGUACACACCGGCAGUCCCAGUGCUGAAGAAGUGGAGACAGGAGAGUCACUGAGCCCACCGGCCAGCCAGCCUAUUCUACUUAUGGAGUUCCAGGACAGUGAGAGACCCUGGAGAUAAACUGUCUCAGAGGAGGUAGAUGACCUUCCUAAGGAUGACCCCUGAAGUCGCCAUUCUCUGACGUCCCAUGCACAUGUGUCUGUCCUUCUGCGCCUGCACACACAUAUGUGGAUGUGCACCCGCACACAUAUGCAUACAUCCAUGAACACACAUGCUACACACACACACACACACACAGAGAGAGAGAGAGAGACAGAGACAGAGAGAGACAGAGACAGAGAGAGACAGAGACAGAGAGAGAGAGAUGUAAAGGACAAGAACUUGAAGACAUGAAGGCAAGAGCGACUGUCUAUAAAUUGCAGGCUGGUAAGAUGGUUCAGCCAGCAAGAGCAUUUGUUACCAACUCAACCUGAGUUCAGUCCUCAGAACCCACAUGGUGGUUGGAGAGAACUGACUUCCACAGAUCGUCUUCUGACCUCCACGUGUGCAUCCCCCUUCCAAUAUAUAAAUAAAAAUGUAAUUAAAAAGUCUCAGGUCUGUAGCAAGCGGGAGGCAAGCCUGGCCUGAGAGGUCCCUGCAGGACUGAGACCAGUGAGUGCUGGCCAGUACCAGCCAUUUUAUCUUUCGUGCUAUUUGAAGACUCAGUAAAUUGUCUCAUGGGGGUAGUGGGCUUCCUGUAAUGGAGACACACACAGCUUGGCUGCUGACGUCACAGAGGAGCCCGGGAGUCUCUCCCUGUGAAAUUCUUAGUCUGCCCAGCUGUAUGCCUAAGGCUGCUAAGGACAUCCAGGUUUUCUGAGUUCCUGAAAAGGCCAAGGCUAUUCCAGCUCCAGCUUCUGCAAACCCCAUGGAGGCCAAACCCAAGGCGGUAUUUGCUGAGAACACUCAGAGCUCAGACUCUAUUGCCUCCACAGCUUACCCUGUGGUGAUGCUGCAGGCCAGUGAGGAAACUGGUUGUUGCAGCCUCCUGGGCGUCACAGCAAGUACACCGUAGACCUCAGCUUGCUUGGUUCCCGUCUCUGAUGUAGGGAGCUUCCUUCUGCAGGAGCAGAGACUGGCGUCUGGAGCAGAGGUCAGGUAGCAAACCAUCAGUCAGAGCUUCAUCCGCAGGGUGGUGACUCACCACAGGUAGCUUUACCACAAGCUCAUUGUGGGUCGGUCUUAUGCCAGAUGCCAAGGUCAGUGAGACAGGCAGGGUCCUUGCCCUUAGAAAGCUCACAGUCUGGCAGGAGAGGCAGAUAUCAAAGCAUGUUCCAGGAGGAAAGUUCGGGAUUAAGAAAAUGCCAUGAGACUCUAAGCAGCAAGAAAGGACAGUUAGGUGAAGGGGGAGGGGAGGAGUGAGGGAAGAGUUCUCAGUCAGCAGACAGAAUGUGCUCAAAUGCCCAAGGGGCCGGCAGCGGUGUAAGCUGGGCUGUGAGAGACUACCAGCUCUGUAGGCAAACACAAUCAAAUACUAGCAGUUUCACAUUGCAAACUCUUUGAAAACCUCAAGGAAGUCCAAGAGUGAGCAAUAGUUGUAUGGACAAGUGGUCCAAGUGACCCUCCUGAAUGAUGUCUGAGUGACAGUGAUGGACAAGUGGUCCAGGUGACCCUCCUGAAGGAUGUCUGAGUGACAGUGAUGGACAAGUGGUCCGGGUCACCCUCCUGAAGGUCUGAGUGACAGUGAUGAGGCUGGGUAGAUCCCAAGGACACUGGAGAGCUAGUUACUAAGGACUUUGUGAAGGAGAGGAACAGAACCAAACCCACACCUCCAAGAAGUCAUCCUGGUGGCUGUGGGACAUGACUUUAGUGGAAGCUGGAGGCCCAUUGGAUGCUGUUUCAGAUGUCUAGGUGAGAAAGGAAAUGCCAGUUGAGGGUUGUUUUAGAGAGCUAGCAUCCUGAUUCACUGUUUUGAGUUCUCCCCAUAGACCUGACUUUCCCUUUGCCCUGGGCAUAAGCAGUGGAUGCAGGCUAGGUAUGUAUGAGGGGCCUGGACCUCUUGAGAACUCUAUGUCCAUGUCUCUUUAAAACAUUGUGCUGCAUGGAUGUCUUCAGGUACAGCUAGGCCUGCAACCCCAUUCACAACUCGUUACCCUGAACUGAAAAUCUAAGUUCUGUCCCCUGCUGCCUAAGGAGCAACUGCUGCUCAGAUGGCAGACGACCCAUCUCACAGCCUUCUCUGGUGAUCAGGCAGGGCCUGAUACGUCUGGCCACCAGCCAGACCUGCAGUGAGUCCUAGGGUCUCCCAAUGACCUGGCAGGAAGGUCUGAAAAAAGAAAGCGACAGGGCCAUUGUCCAGCUGAGCUCUUACCAUCUUCUUUGGGUCUGGAGCUUGGGGUGGACUGAGGAGCGCUUCUGUGUGUUGAGCAUGGAGUGAUCUUACUUCUCUUUAGCCAAUGAAGUGGAGGAGGGGGAGCACAGUCCACAGGGCAAGUGUAGGGCAGUGCCUACGAUGCUGGGGCAGGAGCAUCCAUGAGAUCUCGCUGGGCUAGGCUUUCUUCCCUUCCACGUUUAAUUUCCCACCCACUCUGUGAAGACAGUGCCACUUGAUGAAUCCAGACAACCGUGACCCAUUGACAACAGCCACCCGUGGACAGGAGUGACCCAUUGACAACAGCCACCCGUGGACAGGAGUGACCCAUUGACAACAGCAACCCAUUGCGGACUUAGCACAUGCUAAGAGUGUUCCAGGAAGUAUGUCAUGUAUGCAGUACCUUGAAGAGCAGGAUGCAGAUCUGCACCUGAGGAGCAUGAGGACUGACUGACUGACUGACUGACUGACUUAUCAGGCUAAUGCAUACAGAGAGGGUGCAUUUCAUUCAGCCUGUGUGGCAUUGUUUACCUUAUCACCAAUGGGGCAGAAGCUUGGUUACUUUAGAGGCAAAACACUUUUACUUAUUUCUUUAUUUAAAUGUUGUUUUUAACUUGUAAUGAGAAAUUGUGGUUGUUUAUAUUACAUAGGGGGAGACACAGUGCAACAUUCUGAUACAUUGUCGCUGUUGUUAUGUCCAAUAACUAGAUGUGGAGGCCCACUGUCCUUCUAUACCCUGCUUUUCAGGGGUGCUUGGUGUGCCUGUGUGCGUGCGUGUGCCCUACUGGCGCGGGCUUCCAUCCCUCCUGCUCAUCCCUUUCUCCUGGUCCAGCCUAGCCCCCUUAGCAGGUGUCUCUGGACUCACAGGGCUCUUCACCCUGGCAGUGGUCCCAGUUACAAGGGAUGACCCUGGGUGGGCAGAUGUUGCAGGAUCCUCAACCUUCUGGAUUUCACUGCAGUCGCCUCACCCCUCAGCCACAGGUUACUAAGCUCUCCCAAGAACCACUUCACUUCUGAUGGGAGCAGCGUGGCUGCUGCGCAGCGGUUCCAGCUCUGGUUCUGUUUGGAUGCCCCACUUGCAGUGCCGUUCUCUCCUGCCUCCCGCUGAACCUCUUCCUCCUCAUCUUCCUCUUCCUUCAUGCCUAGCAGAAGCCCUGCCUGCUCUGGGAAGCCCUUGGAGAUGUGCAUAUCCCCUCCAGCUCCUUAGCCUGUCUGGAGACUUCCCCUAGCUAGUUUAAGAACACUCCUGGCUACAGAAAUUCUCUCCUGUCCCGUUGGUCUUGCCGGACGUCCUGGGUCUCGGGACUCCAAGGCUUGUGAGCCUCUUGUGCUUGCCUCAGGCUGUUUCCUUUUAGGCUUUAUCAAAAAAGAUACUUUUUAUUUUUUAUUUUUUACGAGACAGGGUUUCUCUGUAUUGUUUAGGAGGCUAUCGGUCCAGCCCGGCCUCGAACUCACAGAGAUCCGCCUGCCUCUGCCUCCCAAGUGCUGGGAUUAAAGGCUCGCGCCACCACCACACGGCUAAAAGAUACUUUUUAAUUAAAACAAAGCAACACACCCAACAUUUGGCGGUCAUGCAAGUGAUUCUCCACUUGGACCUAAUGCUUUAUUUGUGCCCUUGCCUUUGAUUCCAUUUCAAGUUGCACUGAGAUUUUUCUUUUGAGUCAGCUGACAUCCAGACAUUGGGACUUGUCCACACAGUUUGGAUGUCCACCUUCUUUCUCCCUAUUCUCCAGCACCACAGUCCCCACCCUGCUGUCUCUUCAUCCUUUGUGACAGGCUGUCCCCUGCCCUGCUUCCAGCUGGCUUUUAGUCAGGUUCAGACCUGUGUUGUUACUUCCAGAAGGAAGCAAAGGACAAGGUGGGACUGUUCUUCCUACUUUCCCUCUCUGACCUCAUCUGCUUCCACUUGGCUGACCCUUGACCUCCCAUGUGGGCAGGGACCUCUCUGAGGUGGGAGGAAUUUGGUCUCAGUAUGUUGUCAUUUUCACAGCUAUGGAGCCCCCAGAAUUUUCCAGUCUUUUGUAACCCUCACGGUCUCCUCAGGUGAGUGGGAUUGUCCCUGUUCCGCUCCAGGUAAGGAAUAGGAGCCUCAGACGAAGAAAGCCAGUGAGUGAGAUGCCCAGGCUGGGUGUCCCCGUGACAUGAUUCCUGGUCUGCCCGGCUGCAGUGUAGCCCCUUGGCUUGUUCCCAGUGGCUGCUUCAGCCAGGUUCCCAGUGAGUGAUUAGCAAGUACUGGUAAGUCAGGUUGAGUGGCAGUCACAGGUGAGACGGACCCCAUAGGCCCCGCCCCCUCCCUGAGGUAGGGAGCAAGCAGGGCGUGUGUCUGAUGUUCCCGGUUCUACCUCCCUUCAUUGGGAAGUGCUGUGCCUUCUGGGGCGGUGGUUCCUUACGUUAAGCGAACACGUGCUGGGUGGAGAUAUGCUGAGAGUCCCCCAGCACUACCAUGUCUUUGAGGCAGGAGGACAUGGUGCAGGUGUCAGGCUCAGCAGGAGCAUUUUAACAACCUCUGUCCUUGCUCACUCUCCUCAGUCCUCGAGGUGGCCGCAGGCUCACCACUCUAAGACGGUCUCAGCCACUAAUUGGGCCCAGAUAAUAGGCUGUGCACGCGCCCUUUCCCGUCCUUCUGCACUGUAGGGUAGUUUUGCAAAGCCCAGCCUUCUGCUUGGGCCAGAGUUGGGGAGAACUGUGGCUAGCAGGCAGAUGGUCCCCUGUUCCAGGCGGGCACAGGCAGGCUGCUGGGGACCUCACACCACCCAGUGGAUUCUCUACGACAGGGGUCGGGACUGCCUGUUGUCAAAGGUGCUCUGUGGACAUUGUCAGAAGGUGGCUGCUGGAAAGACUCUCAACAAAGGAUCUCCGGCUCUCCGCGUGCAAGCGUCUGUGAAUGCUGCGCAGUCCUGCAUGAUAGCAUCCCGCUGGCCCCUUGGAGCAGGUGGCAUGGGAAGCUUCAGAUGAGCGUGGGCAGUGUUUUCUUUGCCCAGCUCCAGUGUUCUGUGCAAGUGGAUUAAGUUCUGGAUGGAAUAGGGCUUCUCGCUUUCUUGGCAUUCAGGGUUGGUUUUGCUUUUCUGCCUGCUGGGAUACGUGUUGGAUGUGCAGAUUAUCCCCCAUAUCCAAACUUGGGGAUCCUGAGCCUCCAACUGUUCAGUCUGGGAUUCUAGACAUCUGGUCUUGCUGGCCUGGAAACAAGUCCCACCAUGGGGAUAGAGUGUCCUUGACUGAUGGUAUUGUCAUGUCCGAGAUGUGGAGUAAGUAUCCUGGUCCUGACGCCACCUAUGUCCCUGGGUUUGUGCUGUGACCCCAAAACCUGCAAUGGGAAGGGAGAAGCUCUGGACUCCAGGGAAGUGACAGUGGCCUAAGAGAUCAUAGUGGGGACUCAGCUUCUGGGAAAAUCUGUCUUAGUGACCUUCAUAGUUCCCACUGUCUGGGAGUCAUGCUGGAGUCACUUACCCACCCAAGAGGCAGCUAAUCUGUAUGCCUCCACCUCCCAGGUGCCUUCCCUGGGGCCUCGCCCUUCCUGGUGCAGCUGCAGCCACCGUGACAGGAGACACCAACCCCUUUCCUUGGGUCCCUCUGGGGUUUGAGAGGAAAGGAGCCCAGGCUCCAGACCAGCACUCACACUGAGCAAACAAACAGAAGAACCGCUCUGGAACCAGCCGUGUCUACUGGAGCCGCCCAUGUCUGCCCAACAUUCAUUGCACUGUCAGUGUGUCAGCACAUUCCAGUGUGUCCCCCAGGCUUGCACAUGAGGAACCCGAGGUCCUGGGAGAUCAAGCUAACCCAGAUAAAGCUGUGUCUGGAGAGCAUCUGUGUGGGCACCGCCCUUUCAGUUUCAGUGUCACUCUGGGAACACACAGCCAGUCUCGUCUGAAAACGCACAAAAAUCUCCAGAUGUCUAAGUGUCAGGUGUGGGCGGGGCACUUGGUAAACAGUGCUCGGCGAGUGUAACCAGUCUUCUGCUCUGGCCUUGGCCAUGGGGAGUGAGGAAGGGACAGCAUAUUUUCUCCCACCCACUCAUCUUCCCAGCCUCAUGGGCUCUAGGUUUGCUGUUGUGACCUUGUUCAGGAAACGUCUUGAUAUUUGUUGCCAGGUAGACAAAAACAUCUGGAAGAUUGACCCAUCUUUCUCCUUCGUCCAAAUGUUUUGGUGUCAUGAAGAUAAAGCCACAAAGAUGUAACUGCCAGCGCCCAGUUCCCAGAAGGCCAUAAAACACGGGUGAUCCUGCAGGGCCUCGAAUGCCACAAUCCAGCAAAGUGCUCCUUGUAUUCAACACAUGGUGAUUUUUUACAAAAUCGCUGAACUAGCCAUGUUCUCUGUAUUGAUCAAUAAAUUACUUUGAUGAAAACUCAA